rnacentral:rRNA from 1 species
UACGGAGGGGGCAAGCGUUAUUCGGAAUCAUUGGGCGUAAAGGGCGCGUAGGCGGCUUGGCAAGUCAAAGGUGAAAUCCCUCGGCCUAACCGAGGAACUGCCUUUGAAACUGCUUGGCUUGAGGCCGGGAGAGGGUAGCGGAAUUCCCAGUGUAGCGGUGAAAUGCGUAGAUAUUGGGAGGAACACCAGUGGCGAAGGCGGCUUCCUGGACCGACACUGACGCUGAGGCGCGAAAGCUAGGGGAGCAAACAGG